rnacentral:rRNA from 1 species
CCUACGGGAGGCAGCAGUGAGGAAUAUUGGUCAAUGGACGAGAGUCUGAACCAGCCAAGUAGCGUGAAGGAUGACUGCCCUAUGGGUUGUAAACUUCUUUUAUAUGGGAAUAAAAUGUUCCACGUGUGGGAUUUUGUAUGUACCAUAUGAAUAAGGAUCGGCUAACUCCGUGCCAGCAGCCGCGGUAAUACGGAGGAUCCGAGCGUUAUCCGGAUUUAUUGGGUUUAAAGGGAGCGUAGGUGGAUUGUUAAGUCAGUUGUGAAAGUUUGCGGCUCAACCGGAAAAUUGCAGUUGACACUGGCAGUCUUGAGUACAGUAGAGGUGGGCGGAAUUCGUGGUGUAGCGGUGAAAUGCUUAGAUAUCACGAAGAACUCCGAUUGCGAAGGCAGUUCACUGGACUGCAACUGACACUGAGGCUCGAAAGUGUGGGUAUCAAACAGGAUUAGAUACCCGAGUAGUC